GACGCAACGCGAAGAACCUUACCAAGGCUUGACAUACACCGGAAAACCCUGGAGACAGGGUCCCCCUUGUGGUCGGUGUACAGGUGGUGCAUGGCUGUCGUCAGCUCGUGUCGUGAGAUGUUGGGUUAAGUCCCGCAACGAGCGCAACCCUUGUCCUGUGUUGCCAGCAUGCCCUUCGGGGUGAUGGGGACUCACAGGAGACCGCCGGGGUCAACUCGGAGGAAGGUGGGGACGACGUCAAGUCAUCAUGCCCCUUAUGUCUUGGGCUGCACACGUGCUACAAUGGCCGGUACAAUGAGCUGCGAAACCGUGAGGUGGAGCGAAUCUCAAAAAGCCGGU
rnacentral:rRNA from 1 species